rnacentral:rRNA from 1 species
UACGUAGGGUGCAAGCGUUGUCCGGAAUUAUUGGGCGUAAAGAGCUCGUAGGCGGUUUGUUGCGUCUGCUGUGAAAACCCGAGGCUCAACCUCGGGCCUGCAGUGGGUACGGGCAGACUAGAGUGCGGUAGGGGAGAUUGGAAUUCCUGGUGUAGCGGUGGAAUGCGCAGAUAUCAGGAGGAACACCAGUGGCGAAGGCAGAUCUCUGGGCCGUAACUGACGCUGAGGAGCGAAAGCAUGGGGAGCGAACAGG